UAAAUUUAAAUUCAUUUAUUAAUUCAGGAAAAUAUACAUGUAUGCCCAAAAACAUUUCCCCAAUUCUAUCGUUCGGCAUGUUUCUCGUUUAUGCUGCAUGUUAUGCACAUGGUGCACCCAGUCUUCAUUCAGCAGGAUUCAUGUCGAUACAGUUUUAUCUUUGUAGAUAUCUAAACCUUUUAAUUAAUUGUUUUAGUUUCGUUAGUUAAAAAAAAAACAACUAAAAAAUUCUUCUUGAAUGCCAAAGACACAUAAAUUAAUAAGUUUGGGUAUGAAGGAAGUAAUGGUGAAUUUAGUUUUGGCUAGGGAACAUGAGGAUAUGCAAGAAUAGCACUAUCUUUCUCUACCACUGUGAGAACAAACACUGGCUAUGAUGUAUGUCUUGGUAGAAUUUUAUGAGAAUGCAUGGUGUGGUUUACAGUGAUCCGACUUAUAGAGGAUCGAAAUCUGAGCAAGAGUGUAACAUUUCGAGCUGUUAUAUAUGAUGUACGGAAGUGCUUAAGAAAAUUGAUUUGGCUACCUACAUCACCAAAGUGCGCUUAUCUUUUCUGGUACACAUCCGUUUAGAACUUCGGAGUUAAUCGUAUUUGAACUGGAGUAAUGGAAUGAUAAGUGACCUAUCGAGAAGUGAUUCACGAUAGCGUGCGAAUGAGACCAAAAAACAGGAAAAUGUCAUGUGGUGAUUGCAUGGAUCAGUAAACAAUAAUUUUGAGCCUUCGAAAAACUAACGCACCGCUCGUUAAAUGGGAUAGGACCCACGGAUCGAGUGAGCGGGCGUGAGUGACCCAUUAGCCGUGGGCGGUCGGAGCGUAACAAGUGGUGUCAGAACUGGUUAGACAUCUCGAUUCUGACCCGAGAGGCGUCUUGAGACAUGUCGUCAGACGCAACGAGGACGUUGCGUUCUUUUAGAAGGGUGAAUUGUAACAUUCCGAGUUAUGAUAUAUGGAAGAGCUUGAGAGAAUUAAUUUGGCUACAUAUGUCACCAAUGUGCGCUUAACUUUUACGACACACAUAUGUUUAGAACUCUAGAGUUAAGCGUACUUGAACUGCAGUAGUAGAAUGAUAGGUGACCUAUCGGAAAGUGAUUCAUGAUAGCGUGCGAGGGAGGCCAAAGAACGGAGAAAAUUCAUGUGGUGAUUGCAGGAUCAGUAAAUAAUAAUUUUGACCUUUCAAAUAAUUAACGCACCGUUCGUCAGAUGGGAUGAGGCCCACAGGCCGAAUGAGCGGGCUUGGAUGUCCCAUUAGUUGUGGACGGUCGGAGCGUCACGAAUGAAUUACACAGAGACAAGUCGAGUUUAUGAAUAAUUUUGCACAAAUAUUUUUGAAAAAAAUAUCAUAUAAACUAUUCUGAUGUGGUUUUAUUUACAGUUUUAAUAUAUUGACGAUGCAUGAAUUGCUAUUUAGAACAUCUUUAUUCAUAGUACUAUGGAAAAAUUCUCAACAAAAUAAUACUGAAAAUAUAGUUGAUAUAUUCAUGGGGUUCCCAAAAUCUUGAGAUAUGCAUGCAAUUGCCUCAAUGAGUAUCUCAUUUUUGAAAACCACACAUAUACAUGUUAAUUAGAACUGAAGUCAAGACCUUGAACCCACCUAGUCCUAUAAAUUACUUGUUUAGAUUUAGUUUUAUAUGAUCCCAAAAUGAUUUUUUCUAACUAAGCUUAUUUGGACUUUAGAUUUUUGGUCUGAAAUCCAUUUGGAUUAAGACUAGCCCGAAAAAACUAAAUCUUUAUAUGUUUUAAUUUAUAUGUGAUUAUUUAAAUCUUGUCAAAUUUGAUUUGUCUAUAAUUUGAUUUUAAAGUUUAUGAAAAACACUUUUGUUAAAGAGGAAAAUUUUAAACAGAUUUUAUAUUCUAAGACAAAAAGUUGAAACCGAUUUUUAUGAAAAUUUAGAUGUUUUAAAACGGUAAAAUGAUAGAUAUAACAAUAUAAUUAAUAAUUUCGAAAACCCUUAUAGCUCUUUUAGAACUGUGUGAUCUUUUUUUUGCGGGCCGAACCAGGCUAAGUUUAAAUAAUAAUAAAUUUUAUAGGUUUUGGGUCGGGCUGCAGCGCGCUAGCCCAAUUGACACCCACAACAUAUAAAGAUACUAUGUUUUUCAUAUAUUGUUUUGUUGAGAACUUUUCCUCCGUACUAGAGAUGGAAAUAUUCUUAGUACAUGGUUUUGACUUAGAGCAUCCACAGCGUUAAAAGACUAUAUUGAGUUCUUUAAAAUUGAAAAGUAAAACAAACAUGUGGAGGGAAAGUUUCUUUAAGAACAAGAAGAGUACGGUCGCAGAGAAACUUCUCUGAUUUUCUUUCUUACUUUACCUAUUUGUUUAAAUUUUUUAAUCUCUUGAAACUGAUUGAGAUACUAGCACUGUGGAUGCCUUUAGAACACCUCUAAUGGUGAGUAUUAGAAUAGGUUAUAAGCAUUUAAGAAAAAAAAACAAAAUAAAGAAAUUAGAAGAGAAAAGACCAAAAAUUCUUAUUUCAGAAUUUUUUAAAAAUUCUUAAUAUCUUUAAGAGACACAUGUUAUCAUGUGAUAGGAAAUUAAUGUUUUGUUUGGUUUAGAAAAAAAGAACAUGAAUGAAUAAUUAUAAUAGUAAUAUUUUGUUGUUUUUAGAAACAUGUAUGGUUUCUAUCCGUUGGAGUUGCUCUUAGAAUGCUAAUACUUGCAGGGUUUCUAUAAAAAAAAAAUAUUAUAGCUAUUUAGUUUUUUUUAUACACGUUGAAACAUUGUCUAAAGGACAACUUUUUUUUAAAAUACCAAACCGGUUAGUAAUUAAGAACUUUUGUGAUGUUUCUCUUUUCUAAAUUAUUAGUUUUCAUUUAUUUUUAUCAAAAACUCUUUUUCACUUCCACGUCGAGGUGCUCUUAUCUAGACUGAGACAAGCUGAACAACUUAUCUUGGCGAAUCCUAUUUACAUUUCCGUGGGGCGAAACUGUUGGGUUUUCCUCCAUUAACCAAAUCCAACUAAUAAGUGGAUAAGGAUGAUGAAUAAAAUCUAAUCAAUACAAUACUAAAAGGGGAAUAAGGGCUCCCCUCAUGCCUCCACAUCCUCAAAAAUAAUCAGCCAAUAGGAGAGCCCCGUUAAGCCACGUCGGACGCGCAUCGCGUCUCAUUUGGGCCUCGCGUCAAAUUGGCCUGUUAGUGUUCGAACCUACCUCUCUCCUUCGGCUCCGACUCUUCUUCUCCAUCACGAUCGUUUCAAGAUCAUUCUUUUUUUACCUGUUUCUAAAUCUAGAUCUAAAACGCAAACAGUUAACUCUUCCACAUCCUCUCUCUCUCUUAGUAACCGGUUGUCCCUUUUGAUUGAAGGAGUUAUACAUCGGAGAAGAAGAUGGUCUCCACCAAAGAGAUAGAAAAUUAGUGACUUCGAGCUAUUGGGUGGUGUCUCUACCAGUGAAGGACUCUGCUUGGAAGCAUUCCUUUGAUACUCAUGUUUAUCGGGAACUCAAUAGUUUCAUCGAUUCCAUUGAAAAUUAGCAAAGAUCUCCCGAUUGCGUUCUGACGAUCUGAUAUCUUCCACUUCACAGCUUAAAUUCCUAAUCUUUGGGUUGGAACAUUAAAUCUCUCUCGAAGAUGGUCUGCUCAAAGAACAAGGAGAAUUACAAAAAAAAUUGCUCCACAGGGUGAACCGCAAUAACAGAAUAUGAGAAUCUUCUGAGAUGGUGCUAUUCUCCAUCUCAAUUAACCAAAGAGAGUGCGUUAAAUAUUUGCCUGGCUGGUAUUGAAGACACGACGGAGCCUUUGGAGACGUAACUAAACUUUUGAAAUAUCAAACAUGUUGCUAGAGGAAGCACUGACACUGGCUCGUGCCUUCAGCCACUUUCUUAACAUGAUAGGCGUUGCCAAAACCCAUCAUAGGCUAGCUAACUACACUAGACAUCCGUGUCACAAAAAUAAAAAGAUUUAGUCGAUUUAUGUUUUCAUACACUUGGAAGAUUGCUUUAUCAUUUAGAAUUUUGUUUUCCUAUUUUCAGAGUUAGUAGAGACUGCAACCUUCCACACCUCAUGAGGUCAUGCAACGAUGUAUUCACUAAGCCGAGGCAAGGUGGUAUUUCCCCAUAUGAGCUUCACUACUUAGUUUGCAAACAGGUUAUGAUUCAUUGUCCUACUCACUUUUACAGUUUCAUCAUUGCCAGCUCUUCUCAGAUGCCUUUAAUUCUUGGUAGGCUCCUAAGUCCUAAUUAAAUACGUUUUUCAUGAGCCAUCUUCAGUGUAGAUGAUGAAGAAAGAUCAGAGCAGCAUCUCAUAAAUGCAGCAGACAAAGAGGUUGUUUAUCUAAAAAUAAACCAAUGGGACUUACUAGAGAAGAUACCUAAGAAGCCAACCAGCGAUUACUUCCUUCUGAAAAAUCAUAAACAAAGGGAGUAAAGUAGCAUUCGCUCCUAAUUAUUGUGAUUGAACUACCCGUAAAAUUGGUUCAGUAUUCUUCUCACUCUACGAAUGUAAAAGAAAACAUAUAUAUAUAUAUCUAGGAAGCGAUGUUCUCUUCGAAGGAAUGAGACAUUUUAAUCUAUGAGCAAAAGCCACUAGCAAGUUCUUUGUUUCCUGAUCUGAAACAUUUUAUAUCCUAUGUAAAUUAUGUCUCUUGAUGA